rnacentral:rRNA from 1 species
GGAAAGGUAGCUUGCUACAUUUCCUAGCGGCGGACGGUUGAGUAAUGCUUAGGAAUCUGCCUAUUAGUGGGGGACAACAUUCCGAAAGGAAUGCUAAUACCGCAUACGUCCUACGGGAGAAAGCAGGGGACCUUCGGGCCUUGCGCUAAUAGAUGAGCCUAAGUCAGAUUAGCUAGUUGGUGGGGUAAAGGCCUACCAAGGCGACGAUCUGUAGCGGGUCUGAGAGGAUGAUCCGCCACACUGGGACUGAGACACGGCCCAGACUCCUACGGGAGGCAGCAGUGGGGAAUAUUGGACAAUGGGCGAAAGCCUGAUCCAGCCAUGCCGCGUGUGUGAAGAAGGCCUUUUGGUUGUAAAGCACUUUAAGCGAGGAGGAGGCUACUUAGAUUAAUACUCUAGGAUAGUGGACGUUACUCGCAGAAUAAGCACCGGCUAACUCUGUGCCAGCAGCCGCGGUAAUACAGAGGGUGCGAGCGUUAAUCGGAUUUACUGGGCGUAAAGCGUGCGUAGGCGGCUUCUUAAGUCGGAUGUGAAAUCCCUGAGCUUAACUUAGGAAUUGCAUUCGAUACUGGGAAGCUAGAGUAUGGGAGAGGAUGGUAGAAUUCCAGGUGUAGCGGUGAAAUGCGUAGAGAUCUGGAGGAAUACCGAUGGCGAAGGCAGCCAUCUGGCCUAAUACUGACGCUGAGGUACGAAAGCAUGGGGAGCAAACAGGAUUAGAUACCCUGGUAGUCCAUGCCGUANACGAUGUCUACUAGCCGUUGGGGCCUUUGAGGCUUUNGUGGCGCAGCUAACGCGAUAAGUAGACCGCCUGGGGAGUACGGU